rnacentral:lncRNA from 1 species
GGGAGGAACAGAGAGAGUAGAACAGGAUGAGACAGGGAGGAACAGAGAGAGAGAGUAGAACAGGAUGAGACAGGGAGGAACAGAGAGAGUAGAACAGGAUGAGACAGGGAGGAACAGAGAGAGAGUAGAACAGGAUGAGACAGGGAGGAACAGAGAGAGAGUAGAACAGGAUGAGACAGGGAGGAACAGAGAGAGAGUAGAACAGGAUGAGACAGGGAGGAACAGAGAGAGAGUAGAACAGGAUGAGACAGGGAGGAACAGAGAGAGUAGAACAGGAUGAGACAGGGAGGAACAGAGAGAGUAGAACAGGAUGAGACAGGGAGGAACAGAGAGAGAGUAGAACAGGAUGAGACAGGGAGGAACAGAGAGAGGUAGAACAGGAUGAGACAGGGAGGAACAGAGAGAGUAGAACAGGAUGAGACAGGGAGGAACAGAGAGAGAGAGUAGAACAGGAUGAGACAGGGAGGAACAGAGAGAGUAGAACAGGAUGAGACAGGGAGGAACAGAGAGAGUAGAACAGGAUGAGACAGGGAGGAACAGAGAGAGAGAGUAGAACAGGAUGAGACAGGGAGGAACAGAGAGAGUAGAAC